rnacentral:lncRNA from 1 species
UCAAGACCUGUUGUAUACUAUUUGGGAGUUCUCAGAAUAGAGAAGAAUAAAUUCAUGUAAGUAAGUGUCGUGCAAAGUGAUGAUAUUCCUUCCUAAUUGGUGUGGUCUUUGGUCAAGUCAUGAAAAUGAUUUUAACACAUGAAAAGGGAGGAUGAAAUUCCAAGGUCUUGGAGUCUUUCUUUGAACCUUAGACUACACAUUCAAACAUAAAAUGUGAAGAUGUGAUUAACAAGAGUUCUAGUGAAUCCAAGUAUCUACUAACCAUUAUCAAUCUUUAUGUUUCUAGGCCACAUUCUUCUCCUAUAAAUAGGUGGAAUGUAAGAAGUUUCUUCAUCUCAUCCAAGGGUUGAAAUCCAAAAGUGAUAGUGAGAAAUAGAGUUCUAGCAGUCCUCUUUAAGAGAAAGAGAGUUUUGUUUCAAUCAUAGAUUUUUGAGAGUUGAGAAAUAUCAUCUUGUAUCAAAAGAGAAACUGUAAUUAUAAUUUUUUAUAGUGGAGAUAUUUUACUGGACCAGCUCAUGAGGUAUUUCCCUUUCACAGUGAGAGGAUUCGUGAAAAUUCUUGGUGUGAUUUUUCUAUUUUAUUCUUUAUGUUUUUCCUUCCGAUUAGUGCCAACUUUAAAUUCAGAGAGGAUGGAAAUUAUGCAUGCAUUUCUCAAUAGUGGUAUCAAAUAUCUUGGAGCUUUGGGAUGUUAAUGCGUCAUAUUCGCAAUAAAAAGUUUUUAAUAUGCUUUGUAACUGCAACAUUGUUUGAUCUUUCACAUGAAAAAAGAAAUAUUAUUGUUGAACAAAAUAGCGU